GCAUUUUGAGGAAACGCGCGUACAGAAUCGCCUCUUUUUAGGCGGCUUUUUUCAUAUCUGGAAAAGAGAGAGAGUGAGAGAGAGUCAGUGCGCGAACGCUCACCCCCCACGCAAACAUACACACACGCACGCGCGCGAAGCCGAGAAGCGAGAGACACGGACGCUGUUCCGCUGCUGGGUUUGGAGUACAAACUCGUCCGAACGCACGAAUCGUGGAUUAUUACGCGAAGAACCCGCGGAAACCAUGAGCUGGGGAACCGAGCUAUGGCAGUAAACAUGAAUCAUGUGCAGUCCUUUUGGCACCGGCUGAUGACAUCAUCUCUGAUGUACAGUAGCACUUUCUAAUGACAUCAUCCGUUUGGAAUGCUGCUCUGUUGUUUAGCAUAAG
ensembl:lncRNA